UACGGGGGGGGCAAGCGUUGUUCGGAAUUACUGGGCGUAAAGGGCUCGUAGGUGGCCAACUAAGUCAUACGUGAAAUCCCUCAGCUUAACUGGGGAACUGCGUCUGAUACUGGAUGGCUUGAGUUUGGGAGAGGGAUGCGGAAUUCCAGGUGUAGCGGUGAAAUGCGUAGAUAUCUGGAGGAACACCGGUGGCGAAGGCGGCAUCCUGGACCAAUACUGACACUGAUAAGCGAAAGCCAGGGGAGCAAACGGG
rnacentral:rRNA from 1 species